GACGAACGCUGGCGGCGUGCUUAACACAUGCAAGUCGAACGGACAGGCCCUGCUUUUGUGGGGUGCUCGAGUGGCGAACGGGUGAGUAACACGUGAGUAACCUGCCCUUGACUUUGGGAUAACUUCGGGAAACUGGGGCUAAUACCGGAUAGGAGCUCCUGCUGCAUGUUGGUGGUUGGAAAGUUUCGGCGGUUGGGGAUGGACUCGCGGCUUAUUAGCCUGUUGGUGGGGUAGUGGCUUAGCAAGGCUUUGACGGGUAGCCGGCCUGAGAGGGUGACCGGCCACAUUGGGACUGAGGUACGGGCCAGACUCCUACGGGAGGCAGCAGUGGGGAAUAGUGCGCAAUGGGCGGAAGCCUGAUGCAGCAACGCCGCGUGCGAGAUGACGGCCUUCGGGUUGGAAACCGCUUGCGCCUGUGACGAAGCGUGAGUGACGGUAAUGUGUAAAGAAGCACCGGCUAACUACGUG
rnacentral:rRNA from 1 species